AUGGCGGCCAGCAACGGCGGCGCGCUCCCCGUGGUGGAUCUGGCGCCCUUCUUCGCCGGGGAAGGCUCUGAGGACACGGGCGGGCGCGCCCGGGCCACCGAGGCCAUGCGCGAGGCGUGCCAGGCCACCGGGUUCUUCCGCGCGGUGAACCACGGCGUGCCGCGCGAGCUCAUGGCGCGCGCGCUCGACCUGUCGGCGGCGUUCUUCGCGCUCCCGGAUGAGGAGAAGGCCAAGGUGCGGCCCGCCGAGGGCGCCUCCGCGGCGCCGCUCCCGGUGGGGUACGCGCGGCAGCCCGCGCACUCCGCGGACAAGAACGAGUACCUGCUCCUCUUCAACCCCAAGCUCGGGCUCAACCACUACCCCGCCGAACCGGCCGGAUUCAGGGAUGCGCUGGUGGAGUGCUAG
rnacentral:rRNA from 1 species